rnacentral:rRNA from 1 species
AUUGAACGCUGGCGGCAGGCCUAACACAUGCAAGUCGAACGGCAGCACAGAAGAGCUUGCUCUUUGGGUGGCGAGUGGCGGACGGGUGAGUAAUGUCUGGGAAACUGCCCGAUGGAGAGGGAUAACUACUGGAAACGGUAGCUAAUACCGCAUAACGUCGCAAGACCAAAGUGGGGGACCGUCGGGCCUCACACCAUAGGAUGUGCCCAGAUGGGAUUAGCUAGUAGGUGGGGUAAUGGCUCACCUAGGCGACGAUCCCUAGCUGGUCUGAGAGGAUGACCAGCCACACUGGAACUGAGACACGGUCCAGACUCCUACGGGAGGCAGCAGUGGGGAAUAUUGCACAAUGGGCGCAAGCCUGAUGCAGCCAUGCCGCGUGUAUGAAGAAGGCCUUCGGGUUGUAAAGUACUUUCAGCGGGGAGGAAGGCGGUGAGGUUAAUAACCUUGCCGAUUGACGUUACCCGCAGAAGAAGCACCGGCUAACUCCGUGCCAGCAGCCGCAGUAA